UUAGGCCAGUAAUAUAAUUAAGAAAACUUGAAUAGUUUGGAAAUGCUAACCAUAGGGGGUGAUAGUCCCGUAAAGGUAAUGCUUAAUUAUAUUCUUGAGUAAAGCGGGACACGUGAAAUCUUGCUCGAAUACAGGGGGACCACCCUCUAAGCCUAAAUACUCUUCAGUGACCGAUAGUGAACUAGUACCGUGAGGGAAAGGUGAAAAGAACCCCUAUUAGGGGAGUGAAAUAGAACCUGAAACUGCAUGCCUACAAUCAGUCGAAGCUCUUUUUAGAGUGACGGCGUACCUUUUGUAUAAUGGGUCAGUGACUUAAUUUAUAAAGCAAGCUUAAGCCAUCUAGGUGUAGGCGUAGCGAAAGCAAGUCUUAAUAGGGCGAUUAGUUUUGUGAAUUAGACCCGAAAACGAAUGAGCUUACCAUGAGCAGGUUGAAUGCAAGGUAACACUUGCUGGAGGACCGAACCAGUUGACGUUGAAAAGUCUUUGGAUGACUUGUGGUAAGGGGUGAAAGGCCAACCAAAUUCGUAGAUAGCUGGUUUUCCGCGAAAACUAUUUAGGUAGUGCGAUGAAUAAAUAUGUAUUUAGAGGUAGAGCACUAAAUGGGCUAGGGGGAAGAGAUUCUUACCAAACCUAAUAAAACUCCGAAUGCUAAAUAUAGUUCUUCAUCAGACAGACUGUGGGUGCUAAGGUCCAUGGUCGAGAGGGAAAAAGCCCAGACCACCAGAUAAGGUCCCGAAAUUGUGAUUAAGUGUGAAAGGAUGUGGAAAUUCCUUAACAGCCGGGAGGUUGGCUUAGAAGCAGCCAUCCUUUAAAGAUAGCGUAACAGCUCACCGGUCUAAUAGAGUUUCUGCGCCGAAGAUGUAACGGGGCUAAAAUCACAUACCGAAUCUGUGGGUUUAUAAAACUUUGUUUUAUAAGCGGUAGCGGAACGUUCUGUAAGCCUGUAAAGGAAUACCCGUGAGGGGUUCUGGAGGUAUCAGAAGUGCGAAUGCUGACAUAAGUAACGAUAAAUAAAGUGAAAAACUUUAUCGCCGAAAAUCCAAGGGUUUCUGCGCAAGGUUAAUCCGCGCAGAGUUAGUCGGCCCCUAAGGCGAGGGCGAAAGCCGUAGUCGAUGGAAAUAAGGUUAAUAUUCCUUAACCAGAUGGAAGUGACGAAUUUCGUAAGUUGUAAAUUCUUAAUGGAUUGAAUUUGCCGCGAAGAAGUUCCAGGAAAUAGCUCCAUCAUAAGACCGUACCCUAAACCGACACAGGUGGAUUAAUAGAGUAUAUUUAGGCGCUUGAGAGAAUGAUGUUGAAGGAACUCGGCAAAAUGCUUCUGUAACUUCGGGAUAAAGAAGACCUUUUAUUGGGCAACCAAUUAAAGGUGGCACAAGCCAGGGAGAAGCGACUGUUUAUCAAAAACACAGGGCUCUGCUAACACGUAAGUGGAUGUAUAGGGUCUGACGCCUGCCCGGUGCUGGAAGGUUAAUGCGAUGGGUGCAAGCUCAUUUCUGAAGCCCCAGUAAACGGCGGCCGUAACUAUAACGGUCCUAAGGUAGCGAAAUUCCUUGUCGGGUAAGUUCCGACCUGCAUGAAUGGCGUAACGAUUUCUCCGCUGUCUCCAACAUCAACUCAGUGAAAUUGAAUUCUCCGUGAAGAUGCGGAGUCGCG
rnacentral:rRNA from 1 species